rnacentral:rRNA from 1 species
CUGUUACUGUAAAUACAGCCUCGAAUCAGACGUGACUACCCGCUGAAUUUAAGCAUAUCACUAGGCGGUGGAAAAGAAACUAACAAGGAUUCCCUUAGUA